CAGUGGCGAACGGGUGAGUAACACGUGGGCAAUCUGCCCUGCACUCUGGGACAAGCCCUGGAAACGGUGGUCUAAUACCGGAUAUGACCAUUGACCGCAUGGUUGGUGGUGUAAAGCUCCGGCGGUGCAGGAUGAGCCCGCGGCCUAUCAGCUUGUUGGUGGGGUGAUGGCCUACCAAGGCGACGACGGGUAGCCGGCCUGAGAGGGCGACCGGCCACACUGGGACUGAGACACGGCCCAGACUCCUACGGGAGGCAGCAGUGGGGAAUAUUGCACAAUGGGCGAAAGCCUGAUGCAGCGACGCCGCNGUGAGGGAUGACGGCCUUCGGGUUGUAAACCUCUUUCAGCAGGGAAGAAGCGCAAGUGACGGUACCUGCAGAAGAAGCACCGGCUAACUACGUGCCAGCAGCCCGCGGUAAUACGUAGGGUGCGAGCGUUGUCCGGAAUUAUUGGGCGUAAAGAGCUCGUAGGCGGCUUGUCGCGUCGGAUGUGAAAGCCCGGGGCUUAACUCCGGGUCUGCAUC
rnacentral:rRNA from 1 species